GGAACGUGAAACAAGUUCUAACUUGGGAUGAAGAUAAAAGGGAACCCGUGCAAGACACCUGAGAGCAACAGCAUCAGGAAGCCCUUCAAUGAGUACAGACAUUACUAUCAAGCUUGCAUCUACCCCAAUAGUACUGAACUGACUGAUAAAUCUUGUUUAAAAGUCGACCUACAGAUGUGAGCACUCUCCCUCUUGCUUCUAUUUGAUUUUACUUCUCUGUAAACAGGAAGUGCAGUACCAUGCAAAUUAAUCCUCCACCGCUCCACGAGAUUUACCAACCUGAACCCUG
rnacentral:misc_RNA from 1 species